rnacentral:rRNA from 1 species
AUUGAACGCUGGCGGCAGGCUUAACACAUGCAAGUCGAGCGGGGUGAUGGUGCUUGCACUAUCACUUAGCGGCGGACGGGUGAGUAAUACUUAGGAAUCUGCCUAUUAGUGGGGGACAACAUCUCGAAAGGGAUGCUAAUACCGCAUACGUCCUACGGGAGAAAGCAGGGGAUCACUUGUGACCUUGCGCUAAUAGAUGAGCCUAAGUCGGAUUAGCUAGUUGGUGGGGUAAAGGCCUACCAAGGCGACGAUCUGUAGCGGGUCUGAGAGGAUGAUCCGCCACACUGGGACUGAAACACGGCCCAGACUCCUACGGGAGGCAGCAGUGGGGAAUAUUGGACAAUGGGGGGAACCCUGAUCCAGCCAUGCCGCGUGUGUGAAGAAGGCCUUAUGGUUGUAAAGCACUUUAAGCGAGGAGGAGGCUCUUUUGGUUAAUACCCAAGAUGAGUGGACGUUACUCGCAGAAUAAGCACCGGCUAACUCUAUGCCAGCCGCCGCAGUAA